rnacentral:rRNA from 1 species
GACGAACGCUGGCGGCGUGCUUAAUACAUGCAAGUCGAACGGACCGAUUCCGGUAGUUUACUAUUGGGAAUGGUAGGGGCCGGACGGGUAAGAAAGGGGUGGCCAACCUCCCCUAAGGGCGGGAUUACCGGAGCGAAGUUCUUCUAAAAGCGGAUAAUUUUAACCUGGCGGAUGGGUGGUUAAAGAAAGGGAACGGUUAAGGAUUAGCCCGCGUCCCAUUAGCUAGUUGGUGAGGUAACGGCCCACCAAGGCAACGAUGGGUAGCCGGCCUGAGAGGGUGGGCGGCCACACUGGGACUGAGACACGGCCCAGACUCCUACGGGAAGCAGCAGUAGGGAAUUUUCGGCAAUGGGCGAAAGCCUGACCGAGCAACGCCGCGUGAGGGACGAAGGUCUUCGGAUCGUAAACCUUUGUCAUCGAGGACGAUAAUGACGGUACUCGAGGAGGAAGCCCCGGCUAACUACGUG